rnacentral:lncRNA from 1 species
GUUUCGGCUAGGUGCGCGCAUGGUUUGAAUUCGCCUCAACGUCUUGUUGAAUUAGUUCGACAAAGGAUCAGAUUGGUGAGAGGGUUGGCCGCGCGCGUUGCAUGUUUCAGUUGUAAAUGGUUGAAAUUUUAAUACAGUAUAGCAUGCACGAUAGUUUCGGCUAGGUACGCGCGUGGUUUGAAUUCGCCUCAACGUCUUGUUGAAUUAGUUCGACAAAGGAUCAGAUUGGUGAGAGGGUUGGCCGCGCGCGUUGCAUGUUUCAGUUGUAAAUGGUUGAAAUUUUAAUACAGUAUAGCAUGCACGAUAGUUUCGGCUAGGUGCGCACAUGGUUUGAAUUCGCCUCAACGUCUUGUUGAAUUAGUUCGACAAAGGAGCAGAUUGGUGAGAGGAUUGGCCGUGCGCGUUGCAUGUUUUUAAUACAGUAGCAUGCAUGAGAGUUUCUGCUGCGGACGCAAUUUCAGCUUACCUUAUGAGCUUUAUAAUGGUUGAAAUUUUAAUACAGUUGCAUGAGAGGUUUCGAUUUCAUGCUUUUUUCCUGACUAUGUUUUUAUUUUUGUUUUUUUUUAUACUGAUGUGUGGCCGAAAUUAACAUGCUGAAAUAUCUGAGGGUAAGUGUUAAUCUUUAUUUCUCACAUUAUUGCCAGUUUGCAAUUACAGAGAUAGGUCGACUUUCAAAUGGUUCUAAUUUUAGCACAGUUGCAUGUAUGAGAGUUUUGGCUGAGGACGUAAUUUCAUUUUGCCUUAUGAACUUUAUAAUGGUUGAAAUUUUAAUACAGUUGCAUGAGAGAGGUUUCGGUUUCAUGUUUUUUUCGUGACUCUGUUUUUAUUUUUGUUUUUUUUAUACUGAUGUAUUGGAACCCCAUUAUUGCAGAGCUGAUCUUGGUGAUGUCAGCUAUGUAAAUUAUUGUGUAUAAGGCGGGUGCCUGAGUCACGGAGCAACUUUUAAGGUAGGUCGGUGUUGAAACAAUGUAAUUUUUAGGAAAAAUGUAUAGAGAUUAGAUAAGAAUUUUCUUUAAUCCGUAUUCAGUGACUUGCAAAUAAAUGGCAAUCCCACCGCUGUUUGUGAUUCCUUUCAAACUGCUGGUCUGACCAUUGAAAAUAAGAUCUGAAGUGGGUCCAACAGAUUGAAGUGAUUUGCAAAAAGGUGUCAAGCUUCUUUACUUUCUGUCACAGUUGAAACGAGCAAUCGUUCAAACGAUGGAUUUAGUGAAUUCUAUGCGUCUAGUAUUCGUUCUCUUCUGAGAUAUGCUUGUGAAUUCUUUAAUUUUAGUUUCGAGAGAAAUUAAACUUAUCCUUGGAACGCAUUCAUAAAAGAAGAAUGAGGAUUAUCGAUGGAUUUUUGACAAUACGUGCGAUGUUGCCCUGAAUCUGUCGUGCCUGGAGAGAUUGUUUGUUUAUGGGGAGAAACUUGAUGAUUUUCUGCAGAAGAUUUUCGUCAAUACAGAAGAUAAACUUUAUACACCGCAUAAUAUGAAUGGAGACUUCCCCUUAAAGAAAGAUUAGAAAAUGUACUGUCCGUAAAUGUAAUACUUACCGUUUUAAAAACUACGACCGUUUUAAAAACUGCGAUCGAUGGUACAACUAGUCGCUAUAAUGAAUGAACGAACGAAGUCUUUAUUUUUAUCAGGGUUGUUUCAGUGCUACAGUGAAUACUGUUAUAAACAUGAGCAAUGAAAGAACAAUGAUGGGGACUAUAUAGUUUAAAGGGGCAAUAUCAGCCAUUUUUGGGCAAUUGUAACCCUCGCAAGUUUUGCCCAAAACUGAAAAAGAAUGAAUGUAGGCACAAAAUUAAAGCAAUAAGAUUCAAAAAACAUGUAGAUGUGCAUGUUGAUUAAUUGUUGGCAGACACUUUUUCAUGUUUUAGUCAAUUUUAUGAAAAUGUUGUGCGUGGAAGUUCAAAGUUUUGUUUAAUAUGACUCAUUACUUAAUCAUUUACAAUGUUUAUUUUUAACUUUGUAGUUUAGUUUUUGAACAAAAGGCAUUUUAGGUAAAAAAAAUCGGUGACAAAAAUGGCAAAUAAUUUUUGUAAAUAUUUUAAAAAAUCUUGUUAACUGUAUAAAUCUUGUCAAUUCAGUAUAUUGUAUUCAUAUAAAACCACAUAUGCCAACAAAAUAGAAUUACAAGUCUGAUGUUAUACAUUUAAUAUGUAUUCUCGUUUCUAAUUGGUUAGAAAGCACCGGCUAAUUUUCAGUAUUCGGCAUUUAUUACGUAUUUUCCGCCGAUGACGUCAUCAGCGUAUCCAAAAAAAAAAAUAUUGGACUCUCGUGCCCAAGCCCUUG